rnacentral:rRNA from 1 species
UGCGUAGGUGGCGUGGUAAGUCAGAUGUGAAAGCCCAGGGGCUCAACCCUGGAAUUGCAUCCGAUACUACCAUGCUAGAGUACUGAAGAGGUGACUAGAAUUCUCGGUGUAGCAGUGAAAUGCGUAGAUAUCGAGAGGAAUACCAAAGGCGAAGGCAGGUCACUGGGCAGUUACUGACACUGAGGCACGAAGGCUAGGGGAGCAAACG